rnacentral:rRNA from 1 species
CAUCUUAAAGCUCCGGCGGUAAAAAAUGGCCAUGCGAAUGAUUACCUAGUUGGGGAGGAAAGGGCUCACCAAGGCUCCAAUCUAUAGGGGGCCUAAAAGAAUAUCCCCCCCCCCUGGUCCUGAAACCCGAACCAAACUCCUACGGAAGGCACCAUUAGGAAAUAUUGGACAAUGAGCCCAAGCCUAAUCCACCCUUGCCCCGGGCAGAAUAAAGGCCCAAUGAUUCGAAACCUGCUUUAUGCCGGAAAAAAACCCCGCUACCUGCCGGGAGUUAACGGUCCCGAUAAAAUAAGGAUCGGCUAACUUCUGGCCACCAGCCCCGGUAAAACAAAGGAUCCAACCGUUGUCCGAAUUUCCUGGGUUUAAAGGGGGCGUAGGCGGACUUUUA